rnacentral:rRNA from 1 species
UACGAAGGGGGCUAGCGUUGUUCGGAAUCACUGGGCGUAAAGGGCGCGUAGGCGGCCGAUCAAGUCGGGGGUGAAAUCCCACGGCUCAACCGUGGAAGUGCACUCGAAACUGCGCAGCUAGAGUCCUGGAGAGGAAGGUGGAAUGCUUGGUGUAGAGGUGAAAUUCGUAGAUAUCAAGCGGAACACCGGUGGCGAAGGCGGCCUUCUGGACAGUGACUGACGCUGAGAUGCGAAAGCGUGGGGAGCAAACAGG